rnacentral:rRNA from 1 species
GACGAGGGGUCCAAGCGUUGUUCGGAAUCAUUGGGCGUAAAGCGGGUGUAGGCGGCUUUGUAAGUCAGGAGUGAAAUCCCCGAGCUUAACUUGGGAAGUGCUUUUGAUACGUGCGGGCUUGAGUUCGGAAGAGGGUCGUGGAAUUCCCAGUGUAGAGGUGAAAUUCGUAGAUAUUGGGAAGAACACCGGUGGCGAAGGCGGCGACCUGGUCCGAUACUGACGCUGAGGCGCGAAAGCGUGGGGAGCAAACAGG